rnacentral:misc_RNA from 1 species
UAUAAGAUUUAAGAAGGGUCACUAAAGUCCCAACUUGUGAAGCAUUCUAGGUUUAUAUAGUUUGUAGUAAAAAAAGACAUGAACCAUGGACACAUAGUAAAGGAAAGCAAAACUGCGAUCCUCAAAACCAAAUUUUACUUUGACAAAAGUUUGUCCAUCCACGAUCCACAAAAGUGCACAGGAGGUUAUAAUAAUGAAAAGUUUGAACUAGGCGUGCACAUGCAAUCUCCAAGAAGGAGAGAGCCAGCGACAACCAAGUUUCAACAAUUCGAUAAUGAUCCUUCCGCAGGUUCACCUACGGAAA